rnacentral:lncRNA from 1 species
GCCGAACCAGUAUAAACCAGUGCUUGAUUUUCUCUAUCCCUGCACUCUUUAAAUUCCAGUCGACUAUAUCUUUCACGCAGUCAACUACGUUUUUCCGCUGCAUACAUUUUCUGAUUUCUUGCAUUUCAAGAAACUUUGAAAAGCUUUAAACUUUGCCUACAAGAUUGCGAAAAGAACAGAAUUUUGAAACAUCACCAAUUCACCCCCCUC